GAUGAACGCUGGCGGCGUGCCUAAUACAUGCAAGUCGAGCGAACAGACGAGGAGCUUGCUCCUCUGACGUUAGCGGCGGACGGGUGAGUAACACGUGGAUAACCUACCUAUAAGACUGGGAUAACUUCGGGAAACCGGAGCUAAUACCGGAUAAUAUAUUGAACCGCAUGGUUCAAUAGUGAAAGACGGUUUUGCUGUCACUUAUAGAUGGAUCCGCGCCGCAUUAGCUAGUUGGUAAGGUAACGGCUUACCAAGGCAACGAUGCGUAGCCGACCUGAGAGGGUGAUCGGCCACACUGGAACGGAGACACGGUCCAGACUCCUACGGGAGGCAGCAGUAGGGAAUCUUCCGCAAUGGGCGAAAGCCUGACGGAGCAACGCCGCGUGAGUGAUGAAGGUCUUCGGAUCGUAAAACUCUGUUAUUAGGGAAGAACAAAUGUGUAAGUAACUAUGCACGUCUUGACGGUACCUAAUCAGAAAGCCACGGCUAACUACGUGC
rnacentral:rRNA from 1 species